GCCUAUAUGAAGUCGGAAUUGCUAGUAAUCGCGGAUCAGCAUGCCGCGGUGAAUACGUUCCCGGGCCUUGUACACACCGCCCGUCACACCAUGAGAGUCGAUAACACCCGAAGCCUGUAGUCUAACAGCAAUGAGGACGCAGUCGAAGGUGGGAUUGAUAAUUAGGGUGAAGUCGUAACAAGGUAGC
rnacentral:rRNA from 1 species